UACGUGAGGGGCAAGCGUUGUCCGGAAUCAUUGGGCGUAAAGCGCGUGUAGGCGGCUUGGUAAGUCUGCUCUGAAAGCCCGGGGCUCAACCCCGGGAGGCCGGGUGGAUACUGUCGAAGCUCGAGUCCGGAAGAGGAGUGGUGGAAUUCCUGGUGUAGCGGUGAAAUGCGCAGAUAAUCAGGAGGAACACCAAUGGCGAAGGCGCGACUACGUGGGACGUGACCUGACGGCGAGACGCGAAAGCGUGGG
rnacentral:rRNA from 1 species